AGGUACCUCAGAUGAGUGGAAUUAUGCAGUAUUUGUCCUUUUGUGUGUACAACUAAUUUGACAGGCAGUAUGAUAAGGAACAAUCUGAAUGACACGUAAACAGGAGGGGGUAAAUUCCAAGCACAGCCUGAAUGAGAAGUACAACUCAUUUCCUGUAACCUAGAUGCCUUUUUAACACAUCUAUGCAGUCUCCAUGUGAAACCAGGUGCUGUUCCCAAAGGAGAAAACACUGCCCUCCAGUGGUCUUCAAUGAAGAAAUGGAAAUAGUUUCAGGUGGAAACCAGGCUUCUUGGAAGACUUCAAACUAUGCCAAAUGGUCUGAUUUCACCAUAGAGAAGGAAUGAUCCAUGGAAAGGACUUAAUUUCUCCAUUUUCUGGAAUCGAAAUAUAAGGGCUUUUUAGUUAAAGUUCUUCCUGUAGAGUGUAUUGUUGUGUUCCAUGAAACAGACAAAACUCAGCAAGACAACAAAGACUUGAUCUGUAAGAGAAGAAUGUUAUACUAUUAAUUGCCAAUUUGCAUAUGUGUGCAGCUGCUGUUUUGGCUCUGAACUCAAUCCGAUAAGCUUGCUGGAGGUAUCGCAGAGCACUUGGCAGCUUUCCUAUUUGAAAAGAAAGCCUCUCCCCUCUACAGAACAGCUGAUCGUCUAUCAGCGAUAGACCCUGAUGGCGUG
ensembl:lncRNA PSMD14-DT PSMD14 divergent transcript